GACGAACGCUGGCGGCGUGCCUAAUACAUGCAAGUAGAACGCUGAAGGAGGAGCUUGCUUCUCUGGAUGAGUUGCGAACGGGUGAGUAACGCGUAGGUAACCUGCCUGGUAGCGGGGGAUAACUAUUGGAAACGAUAGCUAAUACCGCAUAAGAGUAGAUGUUGCAUGACAUUUACUUAAAAGGUGCAAUUGCAUCACUACCAGAUGGACCUGCGUUGUAUUAGCUAGUUGGUGAGGUAACGGCUCACCAAGGCAACGAUACAUAGCCGACCUGAGAGGGUGAUCGGCCACACUGGGACUGAGACACGGCCCAGACUCCUACGGGAGGCAGCAGUAGGGAAUCUUCGGCAAUGGACGGAAGUCUGACCGAGCAACGCCGCGUGAGUGAAGAAGGUUUUCGGAUCGUAAAGCUCUGUUGUAAGAGAAGAACGAGUGUGAGAGUGGAAAGUUCACACUGUGACGGUAUCUUACCAGAAAGAGACGGCUAACUACGUG
rnacentral:rRNA from 1 species